CGAUUGUAAACGAGCAAUAGUGUUUUCUAUAUAAAACACAAAACAAAUACCCAAACUUAUUUUCUAUAUAACAGUUUGUUUUUCUGAAUUCAUAUGUAUAUCUCAGAAAUAUUAUUUACAUCUCGUAUAUUUUUUACAGUGAAUAAUAUUUUUAUUUCAUAAAUAUUGGGGGCGUAAUUUAUACUCCUCCAUUGUUUUUGUCAGUUCAAGUUCAUUUGUAUACCGUUACGUUAUUAUUUUUCCCAUUACGUCAACUAAAUUUCUCAAUCGAGAAAAACAAUCUCUUGUUUCUUGGACUUUUGAUCUGAAACCAUAAUAAUAUACAUUUCCCAUUGGGGAAGGUUGAUAUCGCCAGUUUUCGUUAAUUCUGAUGAUGCAAACAUAUUGUCGAGUUCCCAUUCAUGAAAACCAAUACUCAAUAGCACAUAUGAAUUUGAAAUGUUUGACGAAUACUUAGAUAUACGUAUUAACGUCUCGCGUCUUUAUAUCAUCUUGAUCGAUUAUAGUUUCUAUGAAAAAUGUGUUGAAAAAUUUCGUGAAAAAUAUGUUACUUUGGCAGUUUGGCGUCGCCAAGGGCUUUUCGUUCUGCAUCUUCGUUGUUUUCGCCGAUUUCUUGGGAUACUUUGAAUUAUGCUGCGAGACAGAAGCACAAUAUCCAGGCAUUUUAUUCAAGUGGGAAUGCCUUAUUCGAAGGGACUACAUGUAGUCAAUGUUACCAAAUUAAUCUUCGUAUUUUUGGCGAUGAUUAUCCACGAUCGAUGUCACACGAACGAACUACUGGAAUCUUUAUCCCUCAAUCUCUUCUCCUUAUCAGACGAGACAGACAUACAAUUUCCAUUUUGAAUAAUUGAAUUCCUCCCACUGCUGAUCUGGCUUACUGUAGACAGCCUCGAUUUAGGGCUGUAUACGAGUGAGAUGUAUUCUGAUUCCUUGGUUUCAUUGGAAUAUUCCUCUUCUUUACAGUUCAAGCCAGGACAUAAUGUUCUUGAGCACGGUUUGAAAUACUGUUUGAAGCCGUCACGAAAUUGUUCGUUGCAGAUAUUGUAUAAGAUGGGGUUACUGGCACUGUUGCCGUAUAGCAUUACCACUGAUAUCACGCGAAGGACUGGAAACUUGGGUGACGCGUGGGUGACGCGCCUAAAAAAUGAAGAAAUUUUAGAAAUACGUUAUAGUAGUAGUUCCUCUGUAGUCUGUAACGCUACUAUCCCAACUAAUCCAUUAUUUGAGAUGACCGAAUCUGCACUGA